rnacentral:lncRNA from 1 species
AGUAAUGGUGUGGGGUUGCAUUUCUUAGUGUUCCCUUUAUUUUUUUGAGCAGUGUAUAUCAUCCAAGCAAAAAAAAACAAGUCUUCUUUCUCAAUAACAUAGACCAGCCCAGCAGUGAGUCUGAGGACGCUGAUGCUGCUCCUGCUCCUGCUCCUGCCCCUGCCGCUGGCACUUCCUGUGUACCUGUCCCUGAGGCUGCCCCUGCCCCAAGACCACAGGGCGGGGCGAAGAGGAAGAGAGCCAGGGUACCGGAGGGGAAUACAAAUGUCCAGACAGCCAUCCUCCAGGCCCUGCAGAGGCAUAAUUCUGUGCCUACCCCUACCCCGCUUUCUGGGAAUGAGCACUUUGCCAUGGGCCUAGUUCCUUCCCUGGAUAGAUUGCCACCUGAAGUACUGGAGUACGUUAAAUUCCAAAUCCGUAAGGUCAUAUUUGACAAUUCUAAUUUCACCGUUCAUUUGGAACCUAUUUAAGCUUAUUAGCUAGUGGUGGUGACAAUCUCUCCAGGGAAAGAACUAGGCUGAUGUCACUGUUAACUGUUCAUUUGUUAUUGUUCUGUUCUGUUUAUAUUAUUCUAUUUUAUUUUUAUUUUUAUUUUUAUAAUUAUUUUUUAAAUAAAAUAUUUCUU